UACAGAGGGUGCAAGCGUUAUUCGGAAUUACUGGGCGUAAAGCGUGCGUAGACGGUUAUGUAAGUCGGGUGUGAAAGCCCCGGGCUCAACCUGGGAAUUGCAUUCGAGACUGCAUAGCUAGGAUGCGGAAGAGGGAAGUGGAAUUUCCGGUGUAGCGGUGAAAUGCGUAGAUAUCGGAAGGAACAUCAGUGGCGAAAGCGACUUCCUGGUCCAGCAUCGACGUUCAGGCACGAAAGCGUGGGGAGCAAACAGG
rnacentral:rRNA from 1 species